GACGGAGGAUGCAAGCGUUAUCCGGAAUUAUUGGGCGUAAAGCGUCCGCAGGUGGCUGUUCAAGUCUGCUGUCAAAGCGCAGAGCUUAACUCUGUACAGGCGGUGGAAACUGAAGAGCUAGAGUAUGGUAGGGGUAGAGGGAAUUCCCGGUGUAGCGGUGAAAUGCGUAGAUAUCGGGAAGAACACCAGUGGCGAAAGCGCUCUACUGGACCGCAACUGACACUCAGGGACGAAAGCUAGGGGAGCGAAUGGG
rnacentral:rRNA from 1 species